rnacentral:rRNA from 1 species
AACGAACGCUGGCGGCGCGCCUAACACAUGCAAGUCGAACGUGAUUGAGAGCUUGCUCUCAUGAAAGUGGCGCACGGGUGAGUAACGCGUAGAUAAUCUGCCUGGUGGAUCGGGAUAACACUUCGAAAGGGGUGCUAAUACCGGAUAAGCCCACGGAGUCUUUGGACACUGCGGGAAAAGGAGGGGACCUUCGGGCCUUCCGUCAUCAGAUGAGUCUGCGUACCAUUAGCUAGUUGGUAGGGUAAAGGCCUACCAAGGCGACGAUGGUUAGCUGGUCUGAGAGGAUGAUCAGCCACACCGGAACUGAGACACGGUCCAGACUCCUACGGGAGGCAGCAGUGGGGAAUUUUGCGCAAUGGGGGAAACCCUGACGCAGCAACGCCGCGUGAGUGAUGAAGGCCCUUGGGUCGUAAAGCUCUGACAGAGGGAAAGAAAUGUGGGUGGCUAAUAUCCAUACCACUUGACGGUACCCUCAAAGGAAGCACCGGCUAACUCCGUGUCAGCCGCCGCCGUAAAAC